ACGAACGCUGGCGGCGUGCUUAACCCAUGCAAGUCGAACGGAAAGGCCCUGCUUUUGUGGGGUGCUCGAGUGGCGAACGGGUGAGUAACACGUGAGUAACCUGCCCUUGACUUUGGGAUAACUUCAGGAAACUGGGGCUAAUACCGGAUAGGAGCUCCUGCUGCAUGGUGGGGGUUGGAAAGUUUCGGCGGUUGGGGAUGGACUCGCGGCUUAUCAGCUUGUUGGUGGGGUAGUGGCUUACCAAGGCUUUGACGGGUAGCCGGCCUGAGAGGGUGACCGGCCACAUUGGGACUGAGAUACGGCCCAGACUCCUACGGGAGGCAGCGGUGGGGAAUAUUGCACAAUGGGCGGAAGCCUGAUGCAGCAACGCCGCGUGCGGGAUGACGGCCUUCGGGUUGUAAACCGCUUUCGCCUGUGACGAAGCGUGAGUGACGGUAAUGGGUAAAGAAGCACCGGCUAACUACGUG
rnacentral:rRNA from 1 species